GGAGGAAAAUUAAGCUGUGAACUGGAAUUCCAUCAGGCUGUCUACUGUAAAGCCUCGUAGCUUUAGAAAAGGGGCAGUAGUGGUCAGAAAUGACACCCAAAAGCAAAUAACAUGUAAUUAAUAGAAUUCCAGUUCCUGUGAAAGAGAGAAGAUGCUUUAACUUCACACAGCUAUCUAAAGGAAGCCAUUGUGUCAGCCUACUUUAGCUCCUUCAAGGAGCCAUCUCAGCGCUGCCAAGUGGAUUAGCUCCCGGAGGGGCGGCCGGCUCCCCCCGCCCGGGAUCGCAUCCGCAUCCUCGUCCAUCCCCGCGGG